rnacentral:rRNA from 1 species
CACUCCUACGGGAGGCAGCAGUGGGGAAUAUUGCACAAUGGGCGCAAGCCUGAUGCAGCGACGCCGCGUGGGGGAUGAAGGCCUUCGGGUUGUAAACUCCUUUCGCUAGGGACGAAGCUUUUUUGUGACGGUACCUAGAUAAGAAGCACCGGCUAACUACGUGCCAGCAGCCGCGGUAAUACGUAGGGUGCGAGCGUUGUCCGGAAUUACUGGGCGUAAAGGGCUCGUAGGUGGUUUGUCGCGUCGUCUGUGAAAUUCUGGGGCUUAACUCCGGGCGUGCAGGCGAUACGGGCAUAACUUGAGUGCUGUAGGGGUAACUGGAAUUCCUGGUGUAGCGGUGAAAUGCGCAGAUAUCAGGAGGAACACCGAUGGCGAAGGCAGGUUACUGGGCAGUUACUGACGCUGAGGAGCGAAAGCAUGGGUAGCGAACAGGAUUAGAAACCCCAGUAGUCCCAUGAU